UCAAUGGCGUAUUUGUUGUCCACAACUGUGGCGGCCAUCCUGCCAGUACACUAUUUAAGUAUGAUGCACACUAUGGUACGUGGCUAACUUUACCAAAGGCUGGUAUGGUCCCAUAUCUCAAUAUUUGAAUCCUUGAUAUAAUGUUACUGCAAAGUUCUUGUCGGCAUUUCUUGUCUUGAUUCAUGCCAUUUUUUGCUUUCCUUUAACAUAUAUUUAGUCUUUAUGUGCAUACUGCAGU
rnacentral:lncRNA from 1 species